ensembl:lncRNA
CUUUUUGAUACAAAUUUAUUGCAAAUAUAGAAAUAGAUCUUUUGUACAGAAAUUGAGAGACAAAGAAUGAGAAUCAUCACCAAAUAAAGAACAAACAGAGCAAUGAAUGUCACAUUUAACAAUGGACCAGUGUUCAACUGAAUCAACUGUAUUUAUGGGUCCAUGCAGAGGGAAGAAUAUUUCAUACAUGGAUCCAAAAUCAAUCUCCCCUUCAUCAUAAUGAGGUGCGAAAGAGCUUCUAGCUCUGGUGAUCAAAGCGGACAUAACCUGUGACCUCUUGUCCAACAUCUUGUUCUCUUUCGGAGACACGGGGUUAAUUAAGUACAGGGAAACCAAGAGGCCAACAGUCAUAUCUUGAUGUGAAAUCCAAUUACUCAAAAUCAUUGUAACAGCUUAUUUUAUAUUUUGAAUGCCAAUCUCAAAUUGAGUAUAUUGAUGGGAUGAAAACACAACUUCAUCAGACACUCAAAGACUCCCAAGGGUCAAAUGGACUUCUGCAACCAGCAGAUAUGCUAUUUCCACCAUCCCACAUGGGUUGGAGCAAGAAUGUGUCCAAUCGAUUGUGGCUGGUGGAGUUUAUUUGUCAGAUGGAUCGAACUUGGUCCAUCAUAGUCUCUGAGCAAGUGGUUUUCAGACUUCCAACUCCCAGAUUAUACUGUGAAUUAUACAUAAGUAUCUCACAAUUAAGUCAUCAAGGGAUAAGGUUUUCCAGAGAAGGUCAACUGUCAUAAGAAUUUGUCCAUUUUUCUUGACAAGGAAUCGAAUGAGUUGACGAAUUAUCCUUUCAGUACUUGUUUUGACAGUUCAAAGAUGCUUUCAUUAUAAACCUCUCUUAAGAAAGCAGUUGAAGACAAGCCUUCUGGGAUGUCUGAAGAUCAAUAACUAGGAGAGGUGAUUAAUCAAUGCUGUUAAAACAUUAAAGAACAACAAAGACUUCAGCACAAGAGGAACUCUACCCAAAUGUGCGAGAUAAACUUCACUCUUGAAUGUGUACUGACUUCUCUACAUUAACCUCUUGCUAAGUUAAGAUACUUAAGUAGUACAUAAACAUCAGGUAGAACCUGAAACAACACUGAACUACAUGUAUGUUGAUGAAAUGGGUUGGAAAUGCCGCUGGAGACAACAAAUAACCAUGGUGACACCGAAACCAAUUUACCAUAGGACCCUCAUCAAGGGUUCACCACUAUAUCUGCAUUACAUUAAAUAUGUAAAAUAAUUAAAUAAAGAAUUAAGUGAAAUGCUAAAGCAAUUUCUGCAUUCCUGGGUCAAACACUGAGGGGGUGAGUUGGCAUUAAUUAGUGAGGGGAUUAAUUUGCAAAUGCUAAUAGUUUGUUGUCAGCAUUCUCAACGGUUGACCUCUCCGACCAAUAAAUGCUCAUCUUUUUUAAACAGGGAUGCAUGUGAAUUAACCCCACUAGUACUAAGUGAAAACAUCAGAUUAGUUAGAGUUGAGUUGUACGAUAAAUGCCAACGAAAAUUAAGGGUACACGGUAACAUUUACAAAGUUUGAUGUAAAUGGUCACGUUUGAUAAUGACCUAUCGUUUUAUCAAGUAAUUGAUUCAUUUACUGAGACAGUUGAAUACAUUAUACAUGUAAAUGAGUUUAAAUGUAAUGGCAAUGGAAGCAAUGCCUGAAAAAAGUAAGUCAAUAAAACCCGGGGGAAAAUAAAAUGACAAAACAUCACAGAAAAAACUCUGAAUUUCAGUUUCAUAGUGUUUUUGACACACAUCCACUCAAUAUACACAACAAUAAAUUCUAGGCUCAUUGAAAAUACAGGAAAUCAUGCAAAUAUAACACUUUAUUUAAUUUUCAUGUCUUAUUUUUUCAGUCUAUAGUUUCAGUCAUCUUAAUUACAGAUCAUUGCACGACCCCGACCAUUUAAAAAAAACAAAAAACAAACCCUCCCCAAAUACACUCUGUACCCACCCUCAAAAAAUGAUAUACAGAACAAGCUUGGUAGAAAAACAGUCAUAGACUCUUUACAAAAUUCACAGAUGUUUCGCAUUUCCUUCAUUUCAAUAAGUGACUCCAUUCAGGUGACCUAAACAUUGUAAACUUGACUUAUUAAAUGCAUGUUGACAGAAUAAAUAAAUUAACAAAAAGACAAUGCACAAACACAUAAAUCAAUCUUAAUAUGGUUCAUAGCCUAGAUGAUUAUUUUAAAAUGCCAGAUUCCCACAAUGCACUCCUGAUCAGCUCUAGGCAACAACUACAAGCAACCAUUGGCCUUUAUGCAAGUUUGGAAAUACAUCACUUUUUUUAUGAUUAACUUUCAGUGUUUAAGAUAAAACAAGAGAAGGAAUUUGCAAUAUCACAUAAAUCAAAUCAAAAACGUGAAAAUGGGAAACUGCAUCAUGGUAUCCGUUAACUUGAAUCAAUACAGCGCUUUUCAGGCUGUCACCAACAGAUUGCUAUGCUGCGCUAACUCCAAGAUGAUUAUCUCCAGCAUAUUAUGCAUGCAGAGAGCACAAGAUCCCACAUGCUGGCCGUAGACUCAUUUAGAAACCGCUGGAAUUAGACACAUUCCAAAUAUCACACCCGGCAAGAGGUUGAAAACACGCUGCUUUGUAAAAUUACCCUCUCUUCGGAUGACCGUCAAAUGUGAACCAAGGAAAAUGAGUUGCCUGAUUGCUAGUCACUCACUUAGCAUAUGUGAAACCAUGCCACACACAAAAUAAACAAACUACACGUUUCAUAACAAGCUAGCAUGCUAAUCCUCACACUGUCAGGCAACAAACAUCUCUAUCUACAGAGAAUCUUUAGCAUGAUGCUAAGUGCUUUGUUAGCAGCUUUGUUUGUUGGCAAUUUCAAACCUCAUUAAAUGAUAUUACUGGAAACUGAUAGUGCCACCACAGCUAGGCUAGCUUAUGUAGCGCUAGCUUCUUCUAUGCCUGAUUCCCCAAUCAUUAAAGCUUUUGAAAUUGGGUCAGAAUGAUAAAACGGGCACGAUGAAAGCGCCAACUAGGCCAACUAGGCUCUUUUAUUUAGGAGUUGUAUUAUCCUCUUCAUUUGGGAAUGCUUUUUCCAAACCAAACGCUGAGAGAAAAAGACAGAACUUAAACAAAAGCUAGCAAGGACUAGCCUAUAUGGCUGGAAUUAAAUCAGAAGUGGUAUUUUAAGUGGUUAAUCAAGAUGAUGGGGAUCCUGGAUUUUUAGAUUUUUUUUUUAUUUAUUUUUUUAAGAAUGUAUUAUCUGCUAAAAGGCUCUGAACUGACAAAAACGGACAGGCCAUCUAUCUCCAUUACAGUAACAUUGAGAUUAUUCCAGUAAUAUGGCUAUUUGACAUAAGCGAGUUAAUGACUUUGAUAGUGAUCUUUAAAGAGGUUCAUGAAGGUUCACUCAAGAUUUGAGCAUGACUAUUUAAAAAAAAAAAGCAAAUAAGGUCCAUUUUGAAUUCAUUACUUACAAUACGGAGUAGCACUAAGCCAUCAGCAGGGUUUUAGAAAUAGUGGACAUAAAAGGCCUCAUUUAUUGGUCUUAUCUACUUAUGUACUGACAACAGCAGAGCCAUCCUUGAGUCUGCAUUAGCACAUACUCGUAUAGCCCUGUCUGAAUCCAUCAACUCAACUCAAUUCAAAAUAAAAGAACUUCAUAAACAGAACUAAAACCGACGGAGGUCAGAGCAAGGCAAACCAGCAGAAAGGGCAAAGCAAUUUAAUCAUAGGUGCAUACGGUUGGCUUGUACAUUCAGAGCAUUUAGAAUGAAAUUUCGACCAUUUACAUAAAAGUUUAUUAACAUACAGUACACUACUGUUCAAAAGUUUGGGGUCUCUAGGUCUCUUAAGCUUACCAAGGCAGCAUUUAUUUAAUCAAAAAUACAGUAAAAACAGUAAUAUUGUGAAAUAAAAUAGAUGUUUUUACUAUAAUAUAUUUUAAAAUGUAUUUUAAAGUCUUCAAUAUCACAUGAUUCUUCUGAAAUCAUUCUAAUAUGCUGACUUGGUGCUCAAGAACAGAACAGUAUUUAUAUAUAUAUAUAUAUAUAUAUAUAUAUAUAAAAUUUAAAAAGUCUUUACUGCCCUGUUUGAUUGAUUUAUUGCAUCCUCUCUGAAUUACAGUAUCAAUUCAUUUACAAAAAAAUAUAUAAAAAAUAAAAAAAACAAAGACCUUACUGACCUCAAACUUUUGAAUGGUUGUGUAAAAAUAAUAAUACUAAUAAUAGUAAGUUAAAUGUUUAGUAUGGUCAUGCGAUAUGAUGUCAACUACCCAAAAAUAUAUCACAAAUUCAAACAUUUUUCAGUCGUGCAGUUCAGCAUAAACCCAAAAUGCAGUUGUAACCACAAUCUGCUUUUCAUGUAUUGCAUCUGCAAAUAUCUGCUCCCUCAGCAAAAUGUUAGGUAAACCUUUAUUUUUAUUUUAUUUUUUUAUUUUUUACUUGAAAUCCAAAUAGACCAUUUACUAAUAUUUCAUCAAAAUUGCAGAAAUGACAUUCCUCUUAUUUUCCAACCCCUCACCUCUAACCACCUUGAAUAUGGAGACAAUUUCUACUAUCCGAACAAUUCCCAUUGGAUAAAGUCCUAUCCCACGCUAUGUUCUGAUCUCAGUGAAUAUCCUGUUUCACUUAAAAACCUGCACCAUUCCACUAGUAACAUGGUUUGCAAAUGCCAUUUCAAGCUGACUUUUAAAGUGAGAGGAAAAUCAAAGAGCAAAACCAUGUCCCUUACUUUAAGAGGAUUUGUGUUUUCCUCCUCUUCCUUCUCGAGUGAAUAUCUCAUUGUGUUUCCUCUUUUUUUUUUCUCACUCACUCUAGUGUGGCACAUCCACUUUGCAUGUUUCUAAAUUGAACAUCACGCCCGGAGGUCGAAACAAACCACUUUUUGAAUUUUCACCAAAACUCUUUUUCACAUUUAUCGCUCUCUCAAACUCAUACGCUGGUACAUGUAUAAAAGUCAUUCUCGUUGCAAUAACCGGAGGCCCUUAAUUUAGUGAUCGUGGAAAGCAGUAUUGUGCACAUACGGCAGGAUAUGAGUGAAAAAACUAAUCUCUUUUCCUGUUGCGUAUACGCCACGUCUCUGGGGUUCCUUGCAACUAUCGAAACAUUUCACUCAACUCUGAAUGAAAUAUUCAAACCAUCUAUAGCUCAGGAACCUCAAAGGAGUCGGAAAAUGCUGUAAGGGUGUUCUUGAAUUGAUGAAUAAAAAAAUUAGACGCCCCUAUGGUCAUCAGGAAAAGAUUGAUUGCCUGGUUAAACAAGAAAUGGACGCAUCUAACACAUGAGAGAGGUCGUAAAAACGCUUUUGGCCAAUAUCUCUGCCUAUCCGGACUGAUCAAUGCAACUUGCAAAAUAAACCGUAUUUAUUAUUACUCCAAGGGGCUGCAAAUAUGAAAUUGAAUGGUAUAUUUUCUCAACAAAGCUGAGAUGCUGUAAACUUAUGUAUUUGUCUAACAGUCUACCAGUCUUGACAGCUAAUAACAAAACAGACAGAAAAGAAAACCUAUUGAGGGACAUUUUAAUCUUUUCACGGCAUGAUAAAAAGCAGCAAUCCCUCGGCUUUGGCAUAUAGGGGUAAUUAAAUCCCUGCUUAGGGUGAAAAGCAUUACAGACGCCAUUUCCAAAAGACCCCCUGUAGGCCUUUUCCUCAAAAUUGGCAUACACAAAGACAUAUUCAGUCAUACAAAGUGUAUAUAACAGAACUUUUCGCAACCUGACAGAACUUACAAGACCUAGGGAAGUUUGAUGUUUGAGGCACAUUAAAAAUGAAUCGGGUUGAGCUGUGCCUUGAGCCCCAUCUUUGGCGUUUUAACUUUUUGUCUGUUUUCUCUCAAAAAUAACUGUGGAAUUGUGUCUGUUCCCGUUUGCUCAGUGUAGCCCACAACCUUAACUUGACCCUCACAGUAUGAAGGCGGCUGCAUUGUCUUCCUGUUAAACUUUUAGACAUUGCCUGCCCUACAAGACGUGUGGAGAUGUUUGGCAGACUUGACCUGCAAAAUUUGAAUAGAUGGAGUAAUGUUUGUUAUUUAAACAUGAAAGUUGGUCUUUAAAGUGCCUUUAGGCUGUUGUAGACUGUGCCAACUCAAUUCUGAUAUAAAAUCAACAUGAAACAGCAUCCAAAACCAAUUGUAUCUCUCUAAUGUGCUACAACAGGAUAUUCAAUGAGUUUUUUAUGUACUGGGAAAUGUUCGAAUUGGAAAAAGUGAGCGAUACAUACCAGAAUAGCAAGCCUGACCUCUUGAAGCAAAGCUGUUGAGGAGACUUUUGGGUUUGGAUGUAGACAUGGAAGGUCAAAUUCGCCCUCAAGAGCUUCUCGAUGGUGUAAAUCUACCUUUACUUGUCAUUUUGCUGUCUUACGUUAACUUUAAACAAAAUUACCAAAUUAACUACUAGAAAAGUAGGGAUUUACAUAAAAGAAGUUGGAAUAAUGUAUAGAUGAAUUAUGCACCAAAAAGUAAAGUGCAUGGUAAUAGUUUACACAAACAAAAAAAGGCAGUUUCUGAAAAAAAUAAAAAGGAAUUAUGCAAAAUCUGCCAUAAAAGCAACUGACUUCAUAAUCUACAUCAAACCUGAUCUUAUUACUGAAGCUAUACUUAUAACAUGUGCCAAUCCAUCGCUUGCUUAAAUUUGUUCUCUUCCCCAGGCUCGGUUCACUUAUUACUCAAAAAUUGUUUGACUGAAAGGCAUGCAAAACUUGAGCCUCAAUCACAGCGGGUUCUUCUCUAAGGUCUUGGUUAACCUGCUGAGUUAACACCCAUCUCAAGAUAAGGGGGUUGGAAAUGCUCUGUGAUUCGAGUCUUUUUGCAUUAAACCCGGAGUGGUGCCAUGGAGAGUGCGAAUGACAUUUUAUUCCUUGUUCUGGUGUCUAAUCAGGGGUCUUGAGGGGCCUGGUCUGAUUAAAGCAGUUGAAAGUACGUAAAGCUCAUUAAAAUAAGAAAACCUUUCUGUGUUUUCUAACCGCACACCAAAUUCAUUUCAUCAAGGCUUCAGGAGCAUAAGCAUGAACACUAAUGAGGAAUAGAAAUAUGAAAGAGAAAUUGCUGGCACUAUACAUUAGCAGGGAAAAAAGGAGGGGAAAAAAUGAGCAAAAAGGCUUCAUCACACUUUGAACAUGCAACUAAAUUUGACAAGUGCAUCAGAGGACAAUGGUUGGUUUUGAAAGGCUUAUUAUCUCCAUGGACAAGAUGGUAGGAGGCCAGAGAAUUGUGGGCCGUGAGUCUUUCGCUGCUUAAAACUUUAUUAGUGGGAGGACGGAAAUUGUUGAAACUAUGCUUCUCUGAAAACCGUAUAGAGAGGGGAACUUUACUCACCCAUUUUGUGGGUGUUACAGUGGCAUUUAUAUGAGCUAAACUGCUUUAUUUAUUUAUUUUCUGAGAUAUUUCCAGUAAGUUCCAGAUUCAGAAAUCUUGAGCUCUUAGGAAACCUGCAGAAAGUCAUUGUUUUUAUGCAAAUCAAUACAGCCCCAAUUUAAAUGAUCCAUUAAUUAUAUUAAUUUGGACACAAUUAGGAUGCAUUAAGGUAAGUAAUAUAACUAGGAACCAAUCAAAACGCUACCCACAUCAAAAUUAUGCAAAAGCAUCUGGGUUUGGCCUUGAGUAUACAUGAUCAGGAGGGCAUUCUGGCGGACAAAAAUGAAUCCAUUAUGUUAAUAUAUAGUGUCCUCUGAAAUUAAAAAUCACAUUAAAUAAACGCCAACUACAACAAUGACAUUUCAAUCACAAAACAAUGCAGUUACUUUGACAAAUAAAUAACAAUCUUACAAAUGUUUGGCACCAUCCUUUAAAAUAUUUCGCUCUUUGUUUUAGUGCCAAGAGGGCACUUUUAAGACUAUGUGUCUGUAAACUUAUACAUUAUGUGUAGAUUGUUGACUCUGCAUAUGCCUUUGUGUAUAUGUGUGUGAGUGUUUGUAUGUACGUGUACACAUACAGCGAUUUUGUUUUCACUGGACAUACCCAUAAGAAAUCUAAUACUACUUGUACAUAUACUAUAUGUAACCAUUGUUAGUAUAGAUUGUUCUCUUGUUGGUUGUGUGUUUGUCACAGUUUCACAGUCAGCCAUCAGUUACAUCAAGACCAUACACACAUACAGUAGUAACCAAAAAAAAAAAAAAACUUUGCAGGGAAUCAAACCACAAAUAACUCAUUCCCAUAUGCUAACAAUAUACUUAAAACAUUCCAAGAGCAUAAUAAUUUAUCUCCAAUUGUCUUAGCUUGGUAUCUCCCAACCACAGUGCAAUAACGCAAGCCUUGAGGCUGUUUAGAAAACUCAUCUCCUAACUGAAUUUAGGAAAAUAGUUGGGGGGAAAAACAACUUUUGGAGUCUUAAAAAGGAAUAAAUGAGAUUUCAAGAAAGCUAAUGAUGGUGGAAUAUAUGCAUGUGUGGGUUUGUCGUUUUGUUGCAAGCUCUUGCUAUGGGUCUGUGUUUGUCAGUGAUAUUCAUAUCAAUCCAUGUACACUUUGUUCACAUACUCUUCAAUUCUCACAUUAUUCUAUACAGAUACACACAACAAAAACAAAACAUUAGCUUAAGCAUUAAUAUAGCUUCUUUCUUAACAGGGUACCCAAUGUUCAUCUUGUCUUUUCUCAUAGACUGUGAUUGACUGCAAUCUGGAGUUCCCUCUGAGAGGUUUUAGUAAAAUCGCUCACAAGGCAAACCUUUGAAUUUUGACUUGACAGUGUCAAUUCUCAAUUACUGAGCAUUGAUUUUGAACCUUGAAGGACGAUGUGACAUAUUAUUGAUGUAUGCUGAGAGUUCAUAAGUUAAAACACUGGCCAAAUGUGACUGUAAAAUGAAGAUCAAUUUCCAUGUACACUUCUAAUGCUGUUUUCACUUAAAGGGACACUCCACCCCAAAAUGAAAAUUGUGUCAUUAAUCACUUACCCCCAUGUCGUUCCAAACCUCUAAAAGCUUCAUUCGUCUUCGGAACACAAUUUAAGAUAUUUUGGAUGAAAACCGGGGGGACUGUGACUGUCCCAUAGAGUGCCAAGUAAAUAACAGUGUCAAGGUCCAUAAAAGGUAUGAAAGUCAUCGUCAGAAUACUCCAUCUGCCAUCAGACGUGCAAUCUGGGUUAUAUGAAGCAACAGGAACACUUUUUGUAAGCAAAGAAAACAAAAAUAAUGACUUUAUUCAACAAUUCCUUUGUAAACUUCCUCCUCUGUGUCUCUCCGUAUCACCGUAUGCUGCAUAUGCUCUUCUGUGUCAUCCACGCCACAAGGAUGCGCUGUUUCUACAUGUAUUUAGCUUUGAUUUGAAAGAAAACAGCGCAUCCUUGUGCCGCAUUCUGACGAUGACUUUCAUACCUUUUAUGGACCUUGACACUGUUAUUUAUUUGGC